CGCAGUCGCGGGACUCUCCCAAAAUAAGACAUGGCAUCCCGCGUAUAGUGGGAGGCGCCGCGACGCCCUGCGAUUUCACAAACGCGGCAGGUUGAACUACGCUAAACCGUCGUCCCGGCCUAAAAUAAGCGCUUUUAUAUGACUCUGAUGCCUGAUCUUUCUUUUUCUUAGGGUACCCCCAUAGAAAAUAGUCGCAGGGAUUUAGGUCUGUUGACCUAGCCGGCCGCUCUAUUGGCCCUCUUCGUCCUAUAGAAGAUAAACCACAAAUUAUCUGUCGGGACAGCAGGGUCUUGCUCGUCUGGGUAUCAGUGGCGAAGGGUACGAGUAGACAAGGUAGACACUGUCUACCCAAAAUUAUCCAGUUAUUUGUUAUUAAUUUAUUACGUAAUUAUUUCAUGUAAUUGUUGAAUUAAAAUUUAAAAAAAAAUUAACACAGAACGUAACCUCUCCCUACUAUUAUUAAAUAGAAUCUAAACAUGAUUAAUCCGAAGGCGAGCCCCGCCUGACGCACCAAUUAAAAUAAAAAUGUAGGGUUCACACCUAAUUAAGGUAUACGAGCCCCAGGGAGACACAUUGAUAUUUGUCUUCCGAAAUUUGGAGCAUCUAAUCAAACCAAAUACGUAUCAAACAGGUGAUAGAGGCACAGAUUUACAGAAUAUAGAAAUAUAGAAAAUACAUUAUAAAAUAAUAGAAAAUACGCGUGCGAGCGCCAGGCUUCAGACACGCCUCCUGGGUGAUGGAUUUCCAUCACCCGCCUAGUACGGUGGCAAAGGGUUUAAUUUGCUUCAAGCCUCCGCGCCGCGUGCUUCUAAUUUUCUUUGCGUAGUACGCGUGUUUAUGAUUAAUAAUUAAAUUAAAAUAAUAUAUUUGUUUUUUUUUAAAUAUUUUUUUAGUAUUAUUUUUGUUGACAUGGGGGGUAUAAGUGUGUAUAUUUUUAUUGCUCCAGCCACAGUGGUGGAGGAACGACGUUAUUUAGAUUUCCAAAAGAUGAGUUAAUAAGUUAAUAUUUCGAGAUAAUGAAAAGCUAUUUUACUCCCCCAUGUGAUAACUUUCCUUUCCAGUAUUUAAUAAAAUUAUUUAUACGACUUAAAAUAUUUUAUACUUUAAAAUUCGCCAACAGAGAUUUAUCAUCUGCCAAAAAAUCAGAUAAAACUAAAAGAAAAUUAAAAAUUUUGUUUCAUCUUUAAUGUUUUAUUAAAUAAGAUCCUUAAAUCUGUUAAAUUAAAUAAAAAUGUACCUAAGAACCCUUA
rnacentral:lncRNA from 1 species